rnacentral:misc_RNA from 1 species
UUAGAUAAUUUGAUUAUCACUUCAGACGACAAAUUUGUAAAAGAAUUUAAGUAGGCUAUUGGCAAACACUGGCCAGAAGUUUGAACAACUUCCGGCGGUCCGUAAGGACGGGCUCGCCAAAGCAACAAAGUAAAUUUGACAAAGGGUUGGAGAUCGGGCCUAGAAGACCCUAACUCUGUAAUGAUCCUUCCGCAGGUUCACCUACCUACAAAAUAGUUAGUAAUUGUUGGAAAGUAUUGAGAGAGGGAAAUUGCUUACGGAAA